GCCCUCGGGCCGCUGCGGUCACAGAGCUGGGAGGGGUCGGGCCCGGCCGCUUGGGCGGGAAAUGCGGGCGGCGUCCCACACAAAGACCCCGGGCCUCCCGCACGGACGCGGGCACGGCAGCCCCCUCCGGCGCCCUGGUUGGGCUCAUCCUCGUGGCAAACCCGGAUGCAGCUCAUGAGUAUUGAGGUUCCAGGCUCUGGACCGAAGGCUGUGGGGCCCGGACCGGAGCCUGCACUGAGCUGCGCCUUGCUCCUGCCGUGCACGGAAAAAGGAGAAAAAAGGCCACGUGCUGACCUGGGGGCUCAGGGAAGGCCUGCCUGGCGGUUUUGCAAACUCAGACCUAAAGCAACCUCAAGGGAUGGCCUGGAAUUAAACAUUUACCUAAAAGCAGUUUACAGCGGGCAGUCCUGUCCCGGGCCAGUAUUUUCCCUACAAAGAACGACUUCGCAUCUUUCCGGAGCCUGUUGUCUUUCUGCAUCUAAGACAGUUUGGCUCAAAUAAACUCAGAAUUCUUUACA